CACAGACUCACUUCCAAGGACCCUUUACAACUUGUCUUAUCUGUUAUGCGCUUGCUUUUAAACUAUCUCGGGGAAAGCCUUCCAAAAGCGAGCUUUUGAAAAGAACUCCAUGAUGCAUUAAAGGCAUUGAAGUAAUGCAUGCUGUGCUGAUGCCGUGCACAAUUCUGAUUUGAUGGAGACAGACGUGAGAGCAUGGAGGAACAUCUGGUGAAACUUCUGAAAUGCCUGUUUCGCUGCCACCGCUACUGUGUGAUCUGUAAUCUUCCGGAGGGGAAGGCCCCGAAUCCUCGGCUUUGCUUGUUGCUCAGCAGGGGUCGAAGCGCUCGGCAGAGAUGGUGCUCGGUGCUCAGUGUCGGAGGGCUGGUCGGAGGCUCAAAGUUUUCGGACGGACUCAGUGUCGGACUGUGGUUGGGUGCUUCCAGGUUGCUGCAUCAGCAAGUUUGCAGCGCUGGAAGCUCAUGGCAGGGAAAGUUUCUCCCUUCUACCGUCUGUGUGAGAUGUUGGGGCUAUCGGGACUUUGAGACCAUUUUUUUACCGUGCCCAUGGUCUGCUCUUAUCAAAUUAGGGUAUUGCUUUGCACUGUUGUAACGAUAUGUUAUAAUUAUGUGGUUUUUGCCAGUUUUAGUCUUGGUCCAUCUUGUGUUUCUGUGAUAUCAUACUGGAGGAACAUUGUAUCAUUUUUUAAUGCAUGCAUUACUAAAUGACAAUAAACGAGGACAGAGUGUCCACAUAAUCUAAAUCUAAAAAAAAAUUACGUCCCCU